GUGAAAGGAAAAGACGUCUUACCUUGUGGAGAGCAGGGUAAUACUGCGGGGCCAGCAGGACUCUUAGCAGUAACUGAAUCUAACUCACUCAUUUUACAGGUGAAAGAACGGCUGACGCCCAGGUCCCUCAGUGGUACGACAGAGUCUGGAGCUCAGGUGAAAAAAGAAGAAGGAGAAUUAAAGAAAAAAAUAAAAAAGGCCUGGGAAGGUGAAGCAAGCUGUCCAGGAUGCACUGAUGAGCUGGUGGAGAGACGUAGAGGAGGCCCUGACUUCAAUUCUAAAGUCCUCAGUGACACCGAAAUAAUCUCCAGUGGAAAGUUCUCAGCCAAUAGAAAUUAAUUGAGAAGAAAUUAUCAACAAGCUACACGAAUGAGGAGAAAAAUGAUCUCAUCUUUCAUGGAUGAUUUCUAGGAAUUUACCCCAAGAAAAUAACCCUUAGCCUUCCAUUGCAUCUGUGGAAAGAUGACCAGUUUUAAUGUCUGUCUUACUCUUGAACCAACUGGACUUCAGUCUUGUGUGUUUUGGUCCUGUCUUCUCUAGGAUACUUCUUUAAACACAGAAGUUUGCUUUUAUCAUCACUUUGUGGUUUUUGUUUU